GCCCAGAUGGUGAAAUUGGUAGACACGCUACUUUGAGGGGGUAGUGGCCGUUAGGCUGUGCAAGUUCGAGUCUUGUUCUGGGCACCA
rnacentral:tRNA from 2 species